GUGGGAUUGUGGCUCCGUGGCAGAGCACUUGCCUUGCACGCGUGAGGUGCUGGGUUCCAACCUCAGCACCACA
rnacentral:tRNA from 1 species